rnacentral:rRNA from 1 species
AGGACGAACGCUGGCGGCGUGCUUAACACAUGCAAGUCGAGCGGAAAGGCCCUUCGGGGUACUCGAGCGGCGAACGGGUGAGUAACACGUGAGUAAUCUGCCCCUAGCUCUGGGAUAGCUCCGGGAAAACCGGGAUUAAUACCGGAUACGACCACCUUAGACAUCUUUUGUGGUGGAAAGAAUUUCGGCUAGGGAUGAGCUCGCGGCCUAUCAGCUUGUUGGUGGGGUAACGGCCUACCAAGGCGACGACGGGUAGCCGGCCUGAGAGGGCGACCGGCCACACUGGGACUGAGACACGGCCCAGACUCCUACGGGAGGCAGCAGUGGGAAUAUUGCGCAAUGGGCGAAAGCCUGACGCAGCGACGCCGCGUGGGGAUGAAGGCCUUCGGGUUGUAAACCCUUUCAGCAGGGACGAAAUCAGACGGUACCUGCAGAAGAAGCGCCGGCUAACUACGCGCCAGCAGCCGC